rnacentral:rRNA from 1 species
GGCAGUGACGGUUAACGGGGGAUUAGGGUUCGAUUCCGGAGAGGGAGCCUGAGAAACGGCUACCACAUCUAAGGAAGGCAGCAGGCGCGCAAAUUACCCAAUUCUAACAGCAUAAGAGAGGUAGUGACAAGAAAUAACAAUACAAGGCAUUUAAAAUGCUUUGUAAUUGGAAUGAUAGAAAUUUAAACACUUUUUAAAGUAUCAAUUGGAGGGCAAGUCUGGUGCCAGCAGCCGCGGUAAUUCCAGCUCCAAUAGCGUAUAUUAAAAUUGUUGCAGUUAAAAAGCUCGUAGUUGAAUUUCUGUUAAAAAUAACCGGUCUGCUUUUAACAAAAGUGGUAUCUUGGUGUGUUUUUAGCAAUAAUGUCCUUUGAAAUGUGUUUUACUUUGUUGUAAAAGACAAUAUUCAGGAUUUUUACUUUGAGAAAAUUAGAGUGUUUCUAGCAAGCUAAUGUUUUGAAUACUGCAGCAUGGAAUAAUAAAAUAGAAUUUUAGUUCUACAUUGUUGGUUUUAAGAGCUGAAUUAAUGAUUGAUAGGGACAGUUGGGGGCAUUUGUAUUUAACUGUCAGAGGU